GCCAUGGAGCCGGCUCGUGGGGCUCCCCGGCGGGGGGCCGGGAGGAUCCGCCGGCAUCCUGGCCCCGGGCAGGGGGCCCCGGCUCGGGCGGGGGCGGGCCUGGCAGCGGGGAGCCGGGGGACGGGGACGGGAGCGGGAGCUAGAUUCGGAUUGUGCUAGGCGCUGCACAGGCGCGCAACGAGGAGACCCCCCGCCCUGGCCGGCGCCGGGACUCGUCCUGGUUCCAGAUCCCGCCCCGGAGCCGGGACCCAGCGAUCUCCAGCUCAUCCAGCCGAGGGGCCGGCCGGAGACACCCGCCAUCGCCAGCUCCACACGGGUCUAUACCCCAAGGCAGUGGGGUCUAGUGCAGGCUCGCUGACGUCUCUGCAGGGUGCCCUCGGCAAGGAGUUCCCAUGAUGACGAGGCACUGCGUUCCAGGGAAACCGAUUCCUCGCGCCAAACCUGCAUGGUGCCAGCCUGCCUCGCAAGGGGUGGGGGCGGGGGUCACUCACCCUGCUGCUGAAAUGCAGCCACCUCUGGGGUGGAACGCAGCGGAGAGGACGUUGCCGCAGACCCUGCUGCAUGGGUGCUGAACUCCCAGGAAGCAGACGGGGCAGUAGGAAUACGAGAGCAGCAUUGGUCGCUGGUUCACAGCGGCGAGCAACUUUGUCUGGCUCUCUGGACCCAGCUGGCAGGAGCCUAGGGAGACCCGGAGGCCAGCUGCAGUUCUGCCACCAGGAGCCGGAGACAGCCAGGAACGAAUGGGGGGGGGGGGGGAAGGUGCAAUAAAAGCCCUGACCACUGGGUGGUGCCCUCAUUCUGUGCACAGGUCAGCCUCCCCGCCCAGCCCAAUUCCCCCCAUAUACACAGUCAACCCCCCUCCACGCAGGUCUCCAUUAGAGCCACAUUCCUCUCAAACCCCUCCUCAUGUAUGGGGGACCAGUAGGGCCCUCUGCCUCAGUUUCCCCUCUAAAAUGGGGAUAAUGUCUCUGCCCUCCCUAGUAAAGUGCUGUGAGAGCUGAUGAAGGGCACUGGAUGGGAGUGUGGGAUCCUCCCCGCAAUCUCCUGUCCACACAGACCCUUCACGGGGGACAGGUCCGUGUUGAUCAGUGCAGCAUUGGGCGCCUUCCUAGCCCUGGCCACCUAGUCCUGUGCCCACCUGAGCCCCUGCCUGGCCUCACCCAGGCUACUCUGCAGUGCCCCCAGCACUGCUGGGCAUUCCCCACAGGCUCCUGGUCCCAGCCCAGCUGUACAUCCAGCCAGCUCCGUUUCUUCUUCCCUUCGCCCCCCUCCAGGUGGUUGGCGCCUCCCUCCUGCUGGCUGCAACCUGUACCCCAGCUGCCAUCUCCUGGGCACGGGGGUGGGCCUAGAUCUCCCCACAGGGGGCCAGAGUAGCCACUGGGCCAGUUGUAACAAGAGCAAUGUUAUAGUGGGCAUGGCAACACCCAUUGUUUCAUGUUCUCUGUGUCUAUAGAUCUUCCUACUGUAUUUUCCACUGCAUAUAUCUGAUGAAGUGGGUUUUAGCCCACAAAAGUUUAUGCCCAAAUAAAUUUGUUAGUCUCUAAGGUG